rnacentral:rRNA from 1 species
UGGGAAUCUUCCGCAAUGGACGAAAGUCUGACGGAGCAACGCCGCGUGUAUGAUGAAGGUCUUCGGAUUGUAAAGUACUGUCAUUGGGGAAGAACGGUUUUCUUGAAAAGAUUGAGAAGACAUGACGGUACCCAAGGAGGAAGCCCCGGCUAACUACGUGCCAGCAGCCGCGGUAAUACGUAGGGGGCAAGCGUUGUCCGGAAUUAUUGGGCGUAAAGGGCGCGUAGGCGGGCCUUUAAGUCCGGUGUGAAAGAUCAGGGCUCAACCCUGAGAGUGCAUCGGAAACUGGAGGCCUUGAGGACAGGAGAGAAAGUGGAAUUCCACGUGUAGCGGUGAAAUGCGUAGAUAUGUGGAGGAACACCAGUGGCGAAGGCGACUUUCUGGACUGUAACUGACGCUGAGGCGCGAAAGCGUGGGGAGCAAACAGGAUUAGAUA